UUUACGGUACAUAGUUAUAAUUUGAAUUUAUAAAGGAAUUUUAUUGUUUGGAGUAGAUUUAUGAAAUGAGUUUUUUACUAUAGUGGAUAAGUACUGUGAAGGAAAUUAUGAAAUAAUUGAAAAUUUAAUAUUAAGUAAGUACUUUUGUUAAAGGUACCUUUUGUAUCAGGGAUUAUUAAAGUUUUAUUUUUAUAAGUAAUUCUCGAAAAUAAAAGAUUUAAUAAAUUAAAGUGGUUUUUGUGUCAAAAAAAUCAAAUAUAGUUUAUUAGGGGUGAGAUGUGAUUCGAUUUUAUUAAUAUCUAGUAGACUUUGAGUGAAAUUUAGUUUAAAAAGUUGAGGGCGAAAUUAAUUUGUUUAAAUUUUGCUUUAAGAUUUUUUUAUUUUUUAGGGGUUGAGCUCUAAGGAUUUUUAAUAAUUUUUCAGAAAAUUGUUUUUGAAUUAGGCUUAGAAUUAGCUAUCUGAAAGUUUUAUAAGAUAGGGAAUUAAGUAAGUUAUUUAAUUAAGUUUUAAAAUUUAAAUGUCUAAAUUCUCGAAUGAGAUGAGAUUAGAAAUAAUGAUAGUAUUAGUAGAUUUAAGAAAAAAUUUGGGAGUUAAUUUUUAGAUUUUCUUGAAAUUUUUUUAUUUUAGUAAUAUGUCAAAAGAACUCGGCAAAUGGAAUUUCCGAAUGUUUAACAAAAACAUUUCCUCUUUUUAGGGAGGUAAGGCCUGCUCACUGAUUUUUAAAGAGCCGCAGUAUUUUGACUGUGCAAAGGUAGCAUAAUCAUUAGUCUUUUAAUAGGAGGCUGGAAUGAAUGGCUAAACGAGAAAUUGACUUUUUUUGGCAUAAAGUUUGAAUUUAAUUUUUUAGUGAAAAAGCUAAAAUUUUCUAAAAAGACGAGAAGACCCUAGAGAGUUUUAUUUUUUAUCAAAAUAAAAAUUUUUGGUUUUUAUAGUUUUGAUUUUGUGUAAAAAUUUUGUUGGGGUGACAUUGAGAUAAGAGAAACUCUUUAUAAAAGAAAACUUUAAUGGAAGUGAAAUUUAUUGAUCCUUUAUAAAGGAUUAAAAGUGAAAUUACCUUAGGGAUAACAGCGUAAUCUUUUUUGAGAGUUCUAAUCGACAAAAAGGUUUGCGACCUCGAUGUUGGAUUAAAUUUUAGGCAAGGUGUAGCCGCUUUGUUUUUAGGUCUGUUCGACCUAUAGUAAUUUACAUGAUCUGAGUUCAGACCGGCGUGAGCCAGGUUGGUUUCUAUCUUUUAGAUUUAGGGAGUAGGUUUAGUACGAAAGGAUUGACUUAUUAUAAUUAUUAUUUAAAAAUUUGAGUGUCAUUAAAUUUUAUAA
rnacentral:rRNA from 1 species